UUCGUUUAACCAUGAUCAGAACGACAAGUAAAAAGUUUGAAUCAAAAGUAUACAACAAAAUAAUCCCUGCGAAGGCCCUCAAUUUAAUUUUAUACAACAAAUAAUUUUCUCGUGAGAGCUCAGUCAAUGUUGUGCGCAGAAGUGGCGUGUGUGUAUGCUUGUUGUAACAGUUCGUUCGCAAAGCGUCACCCUCCAUGAGAAUGCCGAUCGAGUGGUGAGAAAGUGGCACUCGCGGGAAGGGAGAAUAAAUACAUGUCAGUCUGAGUAUAAAAAUAUUAUCCACUUUGAUUUUUGUUACAACAUUGCAACCAAUUAAUUAAUCAAAGAAACAUGAGUCGAUUUGGCCUGCACAGGGAUCAAUUUGCACAAAUUCUAUCGUAUCUAACACGUCCAGCGUCGAGGGGGAGGAGCAGCAACAUCCAGGGAUGGCUUACUUGGUUCCUUGAGGCCACCCACGCGACCCCAUCGGAAUUCGAGGCCAUAGCUGGGAUAAUGUUUCGUAAUCGGUUGGGGGAUAGGACAUUUGUCGGACCUCUUCCGUUGCCCUUAUUUCCGCGAGGGCCUAAUGAUGCGGUGGUCACGUGGGCUAACGCACUUAUCCCCGUGGAGGGCUUUCGACAAGGGAUUGUUGACUUUGUGACAUACUUGUUGAGAAAUUUGUCCCUCAAUUCUGUUGAACACCGAGAGGUCCUCCACCGGAUGCAAAACCAACGAGCGGAAGUUGAUCCGGCUUUUCGGUGGGGAGCGGACUCACGUCGGACCAUGAAGCAGGAAGUUGUCCCUGUGAAGAUCCUCAUGGACAUUGAGUCAGGUCAGCUGGCUCGCGGGGGGUAAACAUCUCAUUUGUUGACCAAAUUGUUACUGACCUCCAACAACAACACGUUGGACCCGGUGACGGUCAAUUGGUUCAUUUGGGCAUGAUGAGAGAACGCGGCAUGGAAGCAGGUCUGCCGGUUGCACAAAUAUUGAUGACAAGAUGGCAAACCAACAAACCCGGUUUUGUUACAUUAACCAGCGCAACAACCGAUGACAGCAGAUGGUCGACUUCUUGUGCAAAAUAUUUUUUUAUGCAUCGUCUCGUCUCCGUUCGACUGUGCAAUUGACAUCAUGUAACUCGUGUUGUGCAUAAAACCACCUUGUUAUAUUUUCCACAUUAUUAUGCACACGUAAUUUCAGUUGUUAACUGGUGUUUACAUACCUCCAAUUUGCAAUUAUGUGGGAAGAUGCAUGUACGACUUGUGCUGGAUUAUCUAUGUAGCCAACUUAGUGGUAAGUUGAUGGAAAUAAUAUGCGGUAAGAGUAACAAUAAGGAAAUUGUUAUCUGAUUCUCAAUUUAAGUAAAUAAGAUGGAAGAAGACUCUCAGUUUUUAACAGUUUUUUCGCCAAUCGUUCUGCACCUCCUCCUCCGGUAAAAUGAAAACCAUCUAAAAUUCAAUGAUAUACCAUAUAAAUUCAAUGAUUGCUAUGCAAUUUUUGCAAUUUUUUUCUAUCUCCUUUGCCCACACACUUUUAUGGUACAACUCGUCGCUUUAAAAUUUGUAGUCUUGUCGUAAAUUGCACACGUUUGCAAAUUGAAAUAGUAAAUCAACAUGAUGAACCUUUGUGAGGAAGGGUAACCCAACUACAUCCCACAAUUAGCUCAGGUUGCACAGUUGUUUUUUCUAAUAAUGAGUUGAAGAAAGCGCCGUAAAGUUUUUAAACAAACCGUAAAAACUAAUAAAAAUCAUCCUUGCUCACACAAAUAUUCAUUGUAAAAUCGUGAAGAUUUAGAACCAUUGUCAUUUUGUUUGCUGAAUCUAUUUCUUCCCCUCGGUCGUUAAAGACGCUUAAAAACCAGCGUGGUACGUACGACUACGACCUGCAUGGAUUUUCCGUGAGGAGCAGAGAGAUAAAAUAAAAACAUCGUAUAAUAACAGCUACGGGGAAAUUGCAAAAAAAUU